GCAAGUCGAGCGCUACCUUCGGGUGGAGCGGCGGACGGGUUAGUAACGCGUGGGAACGUACCCAGAUCUAAGGAAUAGCCACUGGAAACGGUGAGUAAUACCUUAUACGCCCUUCGGGGGAAAGAUUUAUCGGAUUUGGAUCGGCCCGCGUUAGAUUAGAUAGUUGGUGGGGUAAUGGCCUACCAAGUCCAAGAUGGAUAGCUGGUCUGAGAGGAUGAUC
rnacentral:rRNA from 1 species